GUGCUCGCUUCGGCAGCACAUAUACUAAAAUUGGAACGAUACAGAGAAGAUUAGCAUGGCCCCUGCACAAGAAAUAAAAUAAAAUAAAAAACAAACAAACUAUU